rnacentral:rRNA from 1 species
UGAGGAAUAUUGAGCAAUGGGCGCAAGCCUGACUCAGCAACGCCGCGUGGAUGAAGAAGGCCUUCGGGUUGUAAAAUCCUUUUCUGGGGGAAGAUGAUGACGGUACCCCAGGAAUAAGUUCCGGCUAACUACGUGCCAGCAGCCGCGGUAAAACGUAGGGGACGAGCGUUAUCCGGAUUUACUGGGCGUAAAGCGCAUGUAGGUGGCUUGAAAAGUUGGACGUGAAAGCUCCCGGCUUAACUGGGAGAGGUCGUUCAAAACUGGCAAGCUUGAGGUUGGAAGAGGAGAGCGGAAUUCCCGGUGUAGUGGUGGAAUGCGUAGAUAUCGGGAGGAACACCAGUGGCGAAAGCGGCUCUCUGGUUCAAUACUGACACUGAGAUGCGAAAGCGUGGGGAGCGAACGGGAUUAGAUACCCUUGUAG